rnacentral:tRNA from 1 species
UUAGUUAAAGCCAAAGAGAGGUAUAUCACUGUUAAUGGUAAAAUUGGAAUUUUCCUAACUAAG